rnacentral:rRNA from 1 species
CGGGACUCUCACGAGGCCUCGUAAUCGGAAUGAGUACACUUUAAAUAUUUUAACGAGGAACAAUUGGAGGGCAAGUCUGGUGCCAGCAGCCGCGGUAAUUCCAGCUCCAAUAGCGUAUACUAAAUUUGUUGCGGUUAAAAAGCUCGUAGUUGCAUUUGUGCGCCGCGCUGUCGGUGCACCGCAUUCGCGGUGAUACUGAUACGUAUGCGGAGCAUAUCGUCGGUGAGCCGUCGGUCAAACGACGGUUCAAUAUCAAAAUCCUAUCGCGGUGCUCUUCAGUGAGUGUCGAGGUGGGCCGACAAUUUUACUUUGAACAAAUUAGAGUGCUCAAAGCGGGCUCAAAACGCUGCUUGAAUAUUUCGUGCAUGGAAUAAUAGAAUAUGAUCUCGGUUCUAUUUUGUUGGUUUUCAGAACUCCGAGGUAAUGAUUAAUAGGGAUAACUGGGGGCAUUCGUAUUGCGACGUUAGAGGUGAAAUUCUUGGAUCGUCGCAAGACGAACAUCAGCGAAAGCAUUUGCCAAAGGUGUUUUCAUCAAUCAAGAACGAAAGUUAGAGGUUCGAAGGCGAUUAGAUACCGCCCUAGUUCUAACCGUAAAUAUGUCAUCUAGCGAUCCGCCGACGUUAAUCAAAUGGCUCGGCGGGCAGCUUCCGGGAAACCAAAGAUUUUGGACUCCGGGGGGAGUAUGGUUGCAAAGCUGAAACUUAAAGGAA